AUUUUAAUGCAGCUAUUGAGUAAUAUAAACUAUACCCUACUAUAGUUUAUAUAUUUAAUAAAGGUUACAAGCCCUUAAUGCAGAGUAGAAU
ncrna:unclassified sequences type-P1 twister ribozyme